GUGGGGAAUAUUGGGCAAUGGGCGAAAGCCUGACCCAGCAACGCCGCGUGAGGGAAGAAGGUUUUCGGAUUGUAAACCUCUGUCCUUGGUGACGAAGGAAGUGACGGUAGCCAAGGAGGAAGCCCCGGCUAACUACGUGCCAGCAGCCGCGGUAAUACGUAGGGGGCGAGCGUUGUCCGGAAUGACUGGGCGUAAAGGGCGUGUAGGCGGCCGAUUAAGUCUGGAGUGAAAGUCCUGCUUUCAAGGUGGGAAUUGCUUUGGAGACUGGUUGGCUUGAGUGCGGAAGAGGUAAGUGGAAUUCCCAGUGUAGCGGUGAAAUGCGUAGAGAUUGGGAGGAACACCAGUGGCGAAGGCGACUUACUGGGCCGUAACUGACGCUGAGGCGCGAAAGCGUGGGGAGCGAACAGGAUUAGAUACCCCGGUAGUCC
rnacentral:rRNA from 1 species